AUUGAACGCUGGCGGCAUGCUUUACACAUGCAAGUCGAACGGUAACAGGUUAAGCUGACGAGUGGCGAACGGGUGAGUAAUGCAUCGGAACGUGCCCGGUCGUGGGGGAUAACGCAGCGAAAGCUGCGCUAAUACCGCAUACGAUCUAAGGAUGAAAGCGGGGGACCGUAAGGCCUCGCGCGAUCGGAGCGGCCGAUGUCAGAUUAGGUAGUUGGUGGGGUAAAGGCUCACCAAGCCAACGAUCUGUAGCUGGUCUGAGGGGACGACCAGCCACACUGGGACUGGGACACGGCCCAGACUCCUACGGGAGGCAGCAGUGGGGAAUUUUGGACAAUGGGCGAAAGCCUGAUCCAGCAAUGCCGCGUGCAGGAAGAAGGCCUUCGGGUUGUAAACUGCUUUUGUACGGAGCGAAAAGGUCUCCUCUAAUACAGGGGGCUCAUGACGGUACCGUAAGAAUAAGCACCGGCUAACUACGUGCCAGCCGCCGCGUAA
rnacentral:rRNA from 1 species